UGACUGAACUAGGGUCAAUACUUUGGGGUACAUUGAAUAAAAAAUGCAAUUGUGUGUUAUUGGGGCAUUGUAUGCAUCUUCUCAAGUAGGGAAGGGGGGAUGCUAAUGUUCUUCCUCCAUUAUCAACUCUUUGAAGCCACUCACCUGGAGAGAUCUGCACAUACUAGUUCAAACUGGAAUCUCCAGGGACCAGACAAAGCAAGGGUUUUUGGACAAAUAGCCUGGUUUUAAAUUGGCUCAGGGUCUUCUACCUGAUACAGCAAAUGGACAGGAUCCCUGGUCCAUGGAGUGCUCCAAUCCUUUGGAGAGAGUUGGAAGGACAGGGCCUCCUGAGGCCUCAUAAGACUGAGUGCUUGUUCUGAGAUGAAGCUGUGAUUAACUUGUAACCACAAGGAAUCCCCCUUACAUGGGGUUUGAAGGACUGUUCCUGCCAGAAUCCAUGUUAGGAUUGCGGUGAACUCUGGUAUUGUUUUCAGUGUGGAAUGCUUUUUACCUUAAGAAUAAAGUAGGCUUGCAUAGGAAGUGUUGUAUGGUGCUUUAUAACUAUAACAAUUACACCUAUCAGUCUCUGCAGAGAAAGCAGACAGGCAUACCUGGGCAGCCUGUCUCUGCUGGGAAUGACACAGUGAAGGCAGGGAAUGGUGCAGCCUGGAAAUAGGAUGGUCAGAAGGGAGAGAGAAACAUGUCUCCACCGAAGAGAGAUGACAGCUGGAGUGUCUGGAAACUAGAGUGGCUGCCCUUGAUGGACAAUAGGGGGGGAACACAGUUGGAAUUGCCCUGAACAGACACACCAAGUUCUGAAUAUGCUAAUCUGUUCUUCAGAUAAUCAAAUGUAACUAGCUACACAUGAAAAGAAAAGUCCUUUUCUGUUAGCAUUUUUAUUAAUUAAUUAUUCUAUAAUCAUUCCACCAUCAUUCAUUCAUAUUCCAUGACACACAAUUACAGUUCUGCAUCCAUAGUAUCAUUUGCAAAAUCUACUUCAACAAUAAUAUUACCUUCGAGGAACGUUGUGUGGAUAUGGAAUGACUAUAAGUUGGGAGUUCGGGAUGAUAGCUGUCCAUUCCUGUUUUCUUACGGACUGAAAAAAGAAAUGAAGGAACAAGAUAAACAUUAAAACCACUUCAGCCCUUCACCAGGAUAACAGAAAUAAUUUCAACCUAGAGGAGGGGGCUGGCCGGUGACAACAUGAGCUCAAAGUACAGCUCAGUUCGCGGAGAUGGAGGGGGAAACUGGAUCAGAAUCUGAUUGAUUUAAAUGAGCGUGGUUUCAAUCCAAGGUGUGGAAAUUUCACAGGAGCAGUCAGCACCAUUAGAACUGCUCCAAUUAAAGGCAGAAAGUAAAUUCAGCCCAAGUCAAGAUGUUGAAACACAACAUAAUUUGUAUACGAGCCCAAAGAAGUGAGAAGCCGAUUUAAAAUACCCAUGCCACACUUUUUGCAUUUGGGGAAACCAGAUUUUUGGGGAACUCAUCUGAAGAGCAGCCACUCUUUACAGUUUGCUCCACAUAGUGCCAAGAUGACAUAUCUGCUGGAUUUACUGCUGCUUACGGCAGCAAUGACUUUGACAGUCACUUCUGAGUUUCUAUUUUCUAGCUAUGUUCGUACGGAAGGUAGAAUUCAGCAACAGCAUGGUACCUAACUGACCUCUGCUGCAUGAGGGAGAGGGGGCAGAGAAGUGUGAUGUUCUAAGACUUACAGGAUGGACCCCCAAUUUCCCUGCAGAUAUGGAGUCUCUACCAGUUUGGCAGGACAUCUCUGGCUCCCUUUGCAAGGCUGAAAACUAAAUACCUCCAUAUAUCCAGGGCCUUGCAUCAUGUAUAUUUUAACUUGAAGUUUAACUUUCUUCCCCAAGUAUGGUACCAUAGACCCAGUGGCUUGAAUUGCCAGCUUGCCUUAGAGCUCUUCUGCUUGUAAGGCUUAUAUUACAUUGUACAAGGAAGUAGGACUGAUUAAGUCAUGUGAUGAUUGCCACACAUUUAAGAUGCUAGGGUGUUAUGACCUUUUCUUAGACAGCUGUGUGUUCACAGUUACCAUUUCAUACUACAUGGUUUAAAUAUGCAAAUAGUGAGUUUAAAAAUUAUUUUAUCUAUUAUAAUGAAACUGCAUUUUUGUAUUCUUGGUUGGGAAUCCCAAAUAUCAGUCAGGCAGAAAUUGCAAUUAACUCUACUGUACUAAGGAUGAAUGAAUUAUAAUAUUUAUCAAGGAUACCACAACACCCAAUAGAAACAAUAUUACAAAUGUUUUUUUCCUAAAUAAAUAAAGUAACCACAUACGACAUCUUUAAUAUGAAAAAUGAAUACACAGGCUGAGGACAAAAAGAAAAUGAUUAUUUUAAAUAAAUAGAUUUUUGGUAAAAGGAUUUAAUUUCUUUUCAGUCUUAGCUUGUCAGUCUUAGCUUGUCAGAUAGGACUGAAAAAAGACAGGCUUUCCCACAAGUAAGUGUGGUGUGAGCAGACAAUUAGUCUUUUAAAAAAGAAAACUUCCUUUUUGGAUAGAAGAUCCCAUGAUAUAAACUGAGGUGAUCUGGUUAGUAUUGUAUUUAUCAACCAAACUGGAAAGUCACAGCAUAAAGAAGCAAAUGAAUUACAAAAGUGCAUUACAACAGUGAAGAUUUUAUUAUUGGAAUACAUAAUAGCAGCAGUAAUGAAAAAAUAUCAGGGAAUCUGCAUGAGAUGCAAUACCAGUGUCAGACUUGCCAUUACAUACUGAUCUCAACUAUGUCUGACUCAGGUCGAAGGAUGUGAGAACAUAAGGGAAUGCAGUGACAAAUCAAUUAAAAACAAUAGUAGAUCUUUCUGAUUUAGAGCAUAGUUGUGUUCACAAAUCUAAGAAGGGGACAUUUUUCCAAAACACAAGGCUGGCUAACUCCAUAUUUUCAAAGACUCUGGUUUUAUCUCAGUAUUUUUAUACUUGUAAAUCCAUUGCUUUCAAUUAAACAAACUACAGAACAAGCAAAAAAUAGAAAAACAGUGACCAGUGUGUAUUUGGUAGCAGUGUCGUCUACAGUCCCACAUGGCACUUAAAUAAGGUAUUUAUAGU